rnacentral:ncRNA from 1 species
AUCUUCAGGGCAGGGUGAAAUUCCUGACCGGCGGUAUAGCCCGCGAGCAGUAUGCAGAUCCGGUGUAAUUCCGGGGCCGACAGUAAAGUCUGGAUGAAAGAAGAUG